rnacentral:rRNA from 1 species
CCUACGGGUGGCAGCAGUGGGGAAUAUUGGGCAAUGGACGCAAGCCUGAUCCAGCAACGCCGCGUGAAGGAAGAAGGCUUUCGGGUUGUAAACUUCUUUUAUGGGGGAAGAGUAGAAGACGUUACCCCUUGACUAAGCCACGCCUAACUACGUGCAGGCAGCCGCGGUAAUCCGUAGGUGGCAAGCGUGGUCCGGAUUUAUUGGGUGUAAAGGGGUGGCAGCCGGAGAGACAAGUCAGAGGUGAAAUCCACGGGCUCAACCCGUGAACUGCAUUUGAAACUGGUUCCCUUGAGGGUCGGAGAGGUAAUCGGAAUUCCUAGUGUAGCGGUGAAAUGCGUAGAUAUUAGGCAGAACACCGGUGGCGAAGGCGGAUUACUGGACGAUAACUGACGGUGAGGCGCGAAAGCGUGGGGAGCAAACAGGAUUAGAUACCCCUGUAGUC